rnacentral:rRNA from 1 species
AGGACGAACGCUGGCGGCGUGCUUAACACAUGCAAGUCGAACGAGGUUAUGGAGGAGCUUGCUCCGAAGUAACCGAGUGGCGGACGGGUGAGUAACGCGUGAGGAACCUGUCUCACACAGGGGGAUAACGCACCGAAAGGUGUGCUAAUACCGCAUAACACACACCAAUCGCAUGUUUGGUGUGUCAAAGAUUUAUCGCCUAAGGAUGGACUCGCGUCUGAUUAGAUAGUUGGUGAGGUAACGGCUCACCAAGUCGACGAUCAGUAGCCGAACUGAGAGGUUGAUCGGCCACAUUGGGACUGAGACACGGCCCAGACUCCUACGGGAGGCAGCAGUGGGGAAUAUUGCGCAAUGGGGGAAACCCUGACGCAGCAACGCCGCGUGAAGGAUGAAGGUCUUCGGAUUGUAAACUUUUGUCUUAUGGGAAGAAUACAUGACGGUACCAUAGGAGGAAGCCACGGCUAACUACGUG